UCUGCAUCUUUGAUCAGGCCUAGCAUAUUGAUCAAAUAUGAAAAGUGCUUGGUUUCCAACAGGGACCUAAAAAAUCAGAAAGGCUUUUCUUAGCUUUUAUCUAUGCUCUGUGAGGUUAAGUCUUCUGCAAUACCAAGUAUUAUUGGGAUGUAGCAAAGAUAUUUUAUUUCAUGUAGGUGAUACAAAACUUUUUGUAGUACACGAGGAGUGAGUUUAUAAAAGAUAGCAGACAUCCUUUGGGCUUCUCUUUUCACUGUUUAAAAUAUAAAAGCCGGUACUUCUCAUCUGUGUUUCAUGGGAAUGCAUUUUAAUUCUUUUGAAUUCAGUCUAAUGUUGCUUCUAAGCCUCAGUGCUGCUUCUAAUUCUCAGUUGAAGAACACAUUAUUCCUCCUUUUCUUUCCAGUUUCACACAAAAAGUGAGUUGAAAACAUGUGCCAGUCCAAAAGAUGAGUGUCUGAAGACUCGUAUUUCUAUGUCAGCUAAGAUGACUCUCAGAUAUACAGGCUUGGCCAAAAAAUUGUGUAUGUCUAUAGGUUUUGUUUCAUAAGCUUGAGCAGAGAAGCUGCAAUUUUACCAAAAGGGGUAAACGUGCAACAGCAUUCCAGGUAGUCAAUGGCUUAUACAGGGGACAGAAGCAGAGCAGUUCCUGGUUUCUAUGUAAAUAAUGCACGUUUUUCUUCCUGCCUUUCUCCUGAAAAAGCAAAGUGCAAGCUGGUAGGUUUAAGGACUUAAUGCAGUUUUGUUCAUUCACCAUAAAUUACAAAUCAUUAUAGACCACAGUUGCAGGUUCCUAACUGCGACGUCUACCAAAAAUGUCUUUUAGCUGCUUGAAGAAAAAGCGACAGCUACCAGUUCUGUGCAGUUCUCUGCAACUGCUCAUGUGAUCCCCAGGGUAAGCAUUCACUCCCAGAGCUACUGCUGGAGAAUUAAUUUAUCAGUGGAUGCCCAAAGGCCCUGCUCUGCUGUGCUCCAUGGUGGCUGAAGGCAUCCAGAUACAGCCUUUUGUUUUUUGCGUUCAGCUAUGGAAGCCAAAGCAAGGGAAGGUACUGAGCAGGAAUUAACAUGCAGCCCAAAUUUACGUAGCGAUCACAGCAUGUGAUGGCAGAGUCAGCAGGGAAGGCAGAGCUUGGGCCCUGGUUUAGGAAACUGUGUGUAUGUGACUAAGAUCAGCCACAAAAAUGAGCCCAUGUUUAAAGCGAUUCUGCAAGGAAGAUGCAAAAACCCAUUUGUUCUUUAACAUUUUGGCAGUAAGACUUCCUUCUUUGGUAAGGUCUGUAAAGCUAACUCCCAAACACUAACGUUAAUUGUUUGUGCUUCUGGGCAGCUGCUGUAAGUAACUUCCAGUUUAAAUCCCCCAAAUAUUCUAGGGGUUGGUGGGUGGGUACAAUGAGCUGAAGGUGUAUGAAGAGUAGUUAUUUGUCCCAAUGUGCUUUUUUCCCCAAAGUUUGCUGGUGAAGACGGGACUAGGCUGAAUUAUCACUGUUCUAGUUAUCAGCUUUUCUGGGAUCCUCUGACCCUUAUUUGCAGACAGAAAAUAUGAAGUUUACAUAGCUCAGCAAAGAGAGGGUUACCUUGAUUAAAAAAUAACAAGCAGCUGUCAACAUGCUAGCUGCAGGAGAUAAAAGGGAUGAAAAAGAGGACUGCAGUUCUAGGAGCAAGGAAGGCUGACUUGCUUAGGCUGCAGAAAGAAAAUCAUCCUUCAGUACAAAGAAAAAGGUAUGUUGCUCACAGGAGUGAGCUAAGUCUUGGCCUUGCUACAGAAAUAGACAGUAUUUCCAGGUAAUAUAGGCCUAGCUAGGGUGAAGAGCUGACCAGCUAGCAGAGCUCUAGAGCAGGACUGAUUUCUCAAGAGUUGUUCUCUAUGAUGAUGAAAAGCUUAGCAACAAUUGUGUGGAGUUGGAAGAUAGUUGUAUCCCUAUGAGGAGGCAAGCAUUUAACAGUGAAAGCAAGACCGUAAGCAAGGAAAACAGCACACCAGCUUGGUAGCUUUAAGUCUGUCUCUGUGGAAUGUUUGUUUUAUCCUGACCUGGGCUACUGGGGUCAAGAUUGUGUUUUAUCCAUUUUUUCCUUCUAGUGAGUGAAAUACAAGAUGUCAGAUCAGACAAGCUGGAAGUCUUUAUCCUUAAAUUCUGAGUCCCUUCUACCCCCAGACUGCAGCUUCCCAUAAAACACUAGUUUAUAAAAUCACCUUGGUGUGUGUGUAGGGAAGCUUUAUACAAGAAAUACUAAUGGUGAUUUUUUUUUUAUUUAAAAAUAAAAAGCUAAAUCCUCCUAACUUUACCCUUAAAUGCCAAGGGGAGAGGGCUAUUCCUCCUAGGUUUGGCAAUUCAGAUCAAAGUGCAAAAGCAUUAUUAAGAUUUUGUCAGGAAAUAAUUAUCGAUUUGAAAACUUGUUCAGUCAAUUCUCUUCUACAGGGUGUUUUGGAGUUUUUUCUUUUAAACAAAUAAAAGCAAUUUUUCAUGCAAGUGAUUAUCGCUCGUGUAAACGCGUGCCCCCCUCCCACCCCUGCUGAAUAUUCAGGUAGCUGUGUAUCGUUUCACUGCCUUCCUUUUCAGAGAACACAGCCUUAAACUUAUUUCUAAUAUUUCAGCUUUCUCUUUGGAAUGCUGCAUGACCAAAACAAAACCAAUUGUAAUCAUCUGCAGCAUAUGCUUUGUAUCUCCGAUAGUCUGUAAUAUACUUAACGGGUACAAUUUCUAUAAUACUUCUGCCUGCUUGCUAUCAUCAAAAUGUGAUUUACUUGUGAUCGUUGAAGAUUACGCUUAACUGUAUCUCGCAUCUCCAGCAGGCUGCUCCUAUCUGUGUUUCAAUUUCCUUCUUGCAGGAAGUUUUGCUCUAAUCUGCUCCUUGUAAGCACACGGAACCCGUGCGUGGCUGCUCGAUGACAGGAGCACAGUGCCAGCUGCCCGGCCCCUGCCAGAGACCUGACCCGCUAGCUGCUGUCCGCACUCACAACCGGCUUAAGCGCGACAUCCUAACGGUAUUUUACUAAGCGCCAAUUAACUCACCGACUCUCUUAGGACGCUAGAGCAGGGGAAAAAACAGCAGUUAGCGGAAAACCAAAGGACUACCUCGCCGCUCCCCUCACAAACGCCCUCGGGUUCCCGCUCUCGGUGCGGCAGCGAGGCAGGCAGCGGGACCCCCCGGCAGCCCCAGGCCGGGUGCCGCUCUCCCUCCGAGCCCCACGAUCUGAUGGUCUCUAGAGACUCAUCACCAGAGUAGUCGUGUCGUUAAUCUUUAAUCAGACCACAGAAAUUCAGUGACAACAAAGAUGUGUGUUAAGAGUGAGGUUGGACUUACAUUGUAACCUUUGGAGUUGGACUUACCAAUUGGUCUGGAAUCUGCAAAUGUCGCUUUGUUCUACGUACCUAGAGCCUGCUUUUCCCGAGUUACCAAGUGGACUCGAUGUACAUAUGCAUCAUUCCUGGCAUGCGGGUCAGGAGAGGGCCCCGCUCUGUGUGCCAUACUGGAAUUUUGGCUUCUAAGUUUUUACAAAUAUAGAGGCAAGAUGUGACUUCAUUCUUAA